rnacentral:tRNA from 1 species
GUGGGUUUAGCUCAGUGGUAGAGCACGUGCUUGGCAAGCCCAAGGUCCUGGGUUCAAUUCCCAGCACCUCCA